CAGUAGCCACGGUAAAACGGAGGGUGCAAGCGUUAUCCGGAUUUAUUGGGUUUAAAGGGUCCGUAGGCGGAUCUGUAAGUCAGUGGUGAAAUCUCACAGCUUAACUGUGAAACUGCCAUUGAUACUGCAGGUCUUGAGUAAAUUUGAAGUGGCUGGAAUAAGUAGUGUAGCGGUGAAAUGCAUAGAUAUUACUUAGAACACCAAUUGCGAAGGCAGGUCACUAAGAUUUAACUGACGCUGAUGGACGAAAGCGUGGGGAGCGAACAGGAUUAGAUACCCCAGUAGUCCCUGUCUCUUAUAC
rnacentral:rRNA from 1 species